AAGCAUUAUACAAUGCUUUCUGUGGUGGCCACUUGGAUAGGAACAUGAGUCUCGCCGCCAAGGAUUACUUUCCCUUCUCUGGCUCUAUGUCAGCGCCGUCUUGUGUGAGAUACCUUCCCCCAUUAGCCGAGACUUAAAGCGGCACUGUCAUGCCGAACUUACCUUUCCUCAAUCUCUUCCUCUUCUCCCCCUCUCUCAGGAUCUGUUCUUCUUUUCUUCCUGUCUUUAGUUUUCUUUAAAAUCAUAAGACAAAGUAGGGACUCUUUGCCUUAUGGAGGAUUCCUCCGCUUGACCAGCUCUGACCAGCGGAGGAGUAAAGUGUGCUUCAUUUCCGCUGGUCAGAGCAAUUUCCCCAUGAUCCCUAGCUUUCCUCUGUGAUCUCGCGAUGCUUCCUGUCACUUUACACAAAACUGCCGAAUUGCGUUCUAACUGAAUGAGAACAGUAUGUUCGUUUCUUUUAGAACUCAAUUCGGAACUUUGUUCGGAUCGCAAUUUUAUUCGAAUGAAUGAAACUCCGAUCCUAUUCUUGCUGUGGCUGCAUCUUGCAGCCGCUUAGUAGAUAAUUCCCUAAUUCCCACGGUAUCAGGGAGUUAUCUACUGAAAGACCUAAAUUGGUCAUUCAG